GCUACGGGUGGCAGCAGUGGGGGAUAUUGGACAAUGGGGGAAACCCUGAUCCAGCGACGCCGCGUGAGGGAAGAAGGAUUUCGGUAUGUAAAGCUCUGUUAGCAGGGAAGAAACAAAUGACGGUACCUGACCAAGAAGCCCCGCCUAACUACGAGCCAGCAGCGGCGGCAAUACGUAGGGGGCAAGCGUUAGCCGGUUUUAGUGGGUUUAAAGGGUGCGUAGGGGGAGUGUUAAGUCAGCGGUAAAAGCCCGGGGCGCACCCCCGGCGCGCCGUUGAAACUGGCCGUCUUGAGAUGACGAGAGGUAUGCGGAAUGCGCGGUGUAGCGGUGAAAUGCUUAGAUAUUGCGAAGAACUCCGAUUGCGAAGGCAGAAUACCGGCGGCGAUCUGACGCUGAGGCACGAAAGCGUGGGUAUCGAACAGGAUUAGAUACCCUUGUAGUC
rnacentral:rRNA from 1 species